UUCCUUAUCUUUGGCCCAAGCUUGAUAAUCAAAGCUGGGCGUCCAACCUUUUUCACCACCCAAAAAAAAAGUAAGUAAACAGCUUAGGUGGAAACUUAAGUUGCUAGAGAGCUAUCGUGGUCGAAGAAAGAUGAUGCUCCAUGUAUUAGUAGCCAUCUUCGAUAACUUAGUUAUGUGCAUAUAGAUCUAGUUACUUGGUGUCUUUUUUAGGAUUCAAAUGAUAUGAACGGCAUGGCAUCAAAUGUUUGCUGGACCAAGUCUUGAAUUGGGUUGGUUAUAAUCUGGAGCUUCAAGUAUCCCUUCCUUGCCAUUUCUAUCCAAACAAAUUAGCAACGCUUUCAAUAGAAGACGAUUUCCGAUCAGAUUAGUGUUGGAAAUAAGAGAUAUAAAUAAGUGAUAAAGAUUGAAAAGAUCAGAUAUGAGUAUAACACAUCAUCAUCUAUAUAAGUAGGAGAAUAAUUCAAAUUAGACUAGCUUAAAUACGACAUUGUACCUAUGGUUACUGUUAAAUACUCAACACAUUGUACCUAUAGUUACUUCUGCAUUUGGUUAUUUGAAAGCCUCAUUGUAUCAAAAGACGGCC
rnacentral:lncRNA from 1 species